UACAGAGGGUGCGAGCGUUGUUCGGAAUCAUUGGGCGUAAAGCGCGUGUAGGCGGCCUGUCAAGUCGCGUGUGAAAUCCCUUGGCUUAACCAAGGAAGUGCGCGCGAAACUGGCGGGCUUGAGUGCCGGAGAGGGUCGCGGAAUUCCCGGUGUAGAGGUGAAAUUCGUAGAUAUCGGGAGGAACACCAGUGGCGAAGGCGGCUAUCUGGGCUUUAACUGACGCUGAGGCGCGAAGGCUAGGGGAGCAAACAGG
rnacentral:rRNA from 1 species